rnacentral:snRNA from 1 species
GUGCUCACCUCCACAGCACAUAUACUAAAUUGGAAGGAUACAGAGAAGAUUAGCAUGGACCCUGUGAAAGGAUGCCAUGCAAAUUCACGAAGUAUUCUAUACUAUU